CGUGAGACAGUUUGGUCCCUAUCUGCCGUGGGCGCUGGAAAUUUGAAGGGACCUGCUCCUAGUACGAGAGGACCGGAGUGGACGCAUCUCUGGUGAACCGGUUAUCACGCCAGUGGUAUCGCCGGGUAGCUAAAUGCGGAAGAGAUAAACGCUGAAAGCAUCUAAGCGUGAAACUCGCCUUGAGAUGAGAUUUCCCUGGGGGUUUAACCCCCCUAAAGAGUCGUUCGAGACCAGGACGUUGAUAGGUCAGGUGUGGAAGUGCUGUAAGGCAUGAAGCUAACUGAUACUAAUUGCUCGUGAGGCUUGACU
rnacentral:rRNA from 1 species